rnacentral:lncRNA from 1 species
UCUUCUUGAAGUUUUUCCGUUCUUGUCUCCUUGCAUCCUUUCUCCUUUGUCAUUUUCUUUUUGUUCUCCUUUCUGGGGCUAGCAUUAUGGCUAGAACCUCUCCUCGAGGAAGUCAGUCGGGGAACCCGACCAACGAUUCACGGUCGACCCCGGAGGUGGAGGCUUUUUCACUUUCGGUGGCAAACGUCGAAUGGCUCAAGGAGCAGUACGGUAUUCCG